rnacentral:rRNA from 1 species
ACACGCAUGACACACUGCAUAUCAAUAAGCGGAGGAAAAGAAACUAACAAGGAUUCCCUUAGUAACGGCGAGUGAAGCGGGAAGAGCUCAAAUUUGAAAUCUUCAAGGUUCUACCUUGACGAAUUGUAGUUUAAAGAAGUGUUUUCUGUUGGAGUUUUGGUAAAAGUUCUUUGGAAUAGGACAUCAUAGAGGGUGAGAAUCCCGUAUUUGACCAUUAUUUCAGCUGUGUGAUACACUUUCAAAGAGUCGGAUUGUUUGGGAAUGCAGUCCAAAAUGGGUGGUAAAUUUCAUCUAAAGCUAAAUAUUGGCGAGAGACCGAUAGCGAACAAGUACCGUGAGGGAAAGAUGAACAGAACUUUGAAAAGAGAGUUAAACAGUACGUGAAAUUGUCAAAAGGGAAGCGUUUGACACCAGUGUUGUUUUCUCGAAAAUCAAUAAAAAAUGAUUGGAUUUUGUUGUUGUAUUGACCUUUAUCAGCUUUCUGCACUCUUUUCCUGCUUUUUUAAUGCACUUUUCGUUUAACAAGUCAACAUCAAUUUCUUUUGUUGUAAAAGAGGUCAUUGGAAGGUGGCUUUCUUUUCGGAGAAAGUGUUUAUAGCCUUUGAUCUCUGCAACCGGAGAGACUGAGGUCUGCAGCGUAGACUCUUCGGGGUUAGAUACAUUUGUGCUAAGCUAUAGCUUUUCAUAGACAACUUGUUGACUAUGUUUAGUCUUGUGGCUUACUCGCUUAUGCUAUUUUACCUACGCUUAGGAUGUUGAGCGCAUGUCUCUCUCU